CUUCUGAAAACUUGCCCUCAGGCCUGAGCAAGAGGGCUGCCCGGUUGCUUCCAUGUAGCCAGCCAGCAUAUGUGCAGGGCCAAGUCUAGAGGGAGGAGGGGGUGGCACAUGGAUGGUUUCGUUUAAUUGGAAGACAGUGGGUAGAUUGGAGCUGGCAUUUGAAGAUGUUGAGAGUUGUGGAUCAUGGGCAAGAAAAGCGCUGUUCUGGGACUGCGGGGCAGGAGAAGGAAACUGAUGCUUCUGAGGGUGAGUCUGAUGAGAUAACAUGCCUGUGUGUGGGCCUCAGGUUAGACAGUGCUGAGGUCUCCCGUCACUGGGCAUCCAGCUGGGUGCUACGGCCGUGGCUCCUGCCUUCUGCAGCCCUGUCAGGGCCCAAGGCCUUCCUCAUCAGCACUUGCUCCAGCCUACUCACUGGAGUUGUGUUCUGGGUGGGUGUGUAGAAUACUCGCACUCCUACUUGGGGCAUCAGGGAGCUCUCUAGCAAUUUCUUCUGCACCUAGGGAGAGCCCACUGCUAAAAAAGGCCUAGUCAAAUCCUCAGGUGUACAUGGACAUCAAGAUUGGGAACAAGCCGGCUGGCUGCAUCCAAACCCUCCUGCGUUCCGACGUCGUGCCCAUGACCACAGAGAAUUUUCUCUACAUGUGCACCCAUUUAAAGGACUCGGCUUCAAGGGAAGCAGCUUCCACCGCAUUAUCCCCCAGUUCAUUUGCCAGGGCAGUGAUUUCACAAACCACGGUGGCACCAGGGGUCUGCGCAGGCAUGGCACUAAGUGUCCCAUGGCACAUUUGGCCCUCAUGGAGGCCUCAAAAGGGCAGGACCAGCACCCUCUUCUACGGAGGAAGGAACGGGCACAGCAGGUUGCCCCAGACACCAAGGCAUCAAAAGCCAGGGGAUCCAGAGAAAACACAGACAGCCAAGAGAGAAACUGCGGGAAAAAGCCAAAAGGUUGAGAGCCACACCAUCUAGAAGCUUCCUGCCUGUGGUGCGGCACAGAAACAAGGAGAGUCAGCAAUUACCAGCCAGCCAAGGUCCUGGAAGCUGACGUAGAGCUCGUGCCGACGGCAGACCUGCCGGCCGUGGGAGCCGCGGACGUCAUCUGCAGGGACAGAAGGGGCAAGGUCUUUUCUGGGGUUCCUGCUGUGUGCAGCUACUAUGGGGUACCAGGGUGGGGGAUGCCCUGAUGAGCACAUUUGUCAAAUAAAUGAAUGACAGGAAACCAUUUGGUCUCAUAAAGCCCAUCCCUGGAACGCUGCUUGUACCAUGACCCAGCUCAAAAGCCUGCCAUGGCUCCCAAUGGCUAGAGUGACACUGUGCCCAGUCCUCCCCUGUCCUUCAGCCUAUGAGCGUCUUUAUGCUCCAGUAAACAGCCCAGCAGGACCCUCGGCCAUCCUGUGCCUCCUCCUCUCUGGAGACCCCUGUGACUCCAGCCCACCCUCUCCUGCCACACCCAUUCCCGAGGUUCAAGUGGCUCACGACCAGGCCAGUCAAGGGCCGACUCCCUGGUGAAGGAGGGCACGGGGUUGGGUCAGGCCUGUCCCUGAUCCUGAAGGGCUUGGCCCAGUUGGGGAGAAAACUCGCAUAAGCAACCGAGGAUCCCACAGGGUGCCCAGGCACAACCGCAGGUCAUGAGGGGCUGCGGCUCCCAGGGAAGGGGCAGCUGAUUCUGAAGGAGGCUCCUGAGAAAGACCCGGAGGAGCCAGGGGGAGAGAGGGAGACUUCUGGGCAGCAGGGACAGCCAGGACAGGCCUCCGGAGUGCCGGUCACCAGGGUGCAUCAGGGCCAAGAUGGUGUCAGGAAAGGUGGCUGGAGAGUGGCCGUCAGCUUGAACCGACCUGAGCCUGAGGGCUCUGGGCC
rnacentral:lncRNA from 1 species